rnacentral:misc_RNA from 1 species
CGCACCUUGCGCUCCUUGGUAUUCCGAGGAGCAUGCCUGUUUGAGUGUCUUGAAAUCAUCAACCCCUUCUGUUUUUGAAGCGGACUGGGUUGGACGUGGGGGCUCUGCUGCCGCAAGGCGGCUCCCCUCAAAUGCAUCGGUUGGGCCUGCGUGGUCGAACUCGACUGGGCGUUGUACCAUCCUCGCUCGACAGAGAUGUUCCCCUAGUGCCCUCCCUCGACCUGCCUGUAUGGAGCGGCGGUCAAAAUAUUUGGAAUAGGACCUCAAAUCAGGUAGGACUACCCGCUGAACUUAA